GCAAUCUCGCAAGAGCAAGCAAACCUCAAAAGCCAUCCUCAGUUCGGAUUGGAGUCUGCAACUCGACUCCAUGAAGUCGGAAUCGCUAGUAAUCGCGGAUCAGCACGCCGCGGUGAAUACGUUCCCGGGCCUU
rnacentral:rRNA from 1 species